GACGAACGCUGGCGGCGUGCUUAACACAUGCAAGUCGAACGGGAAGGCCCUGCUUUUGUGGGGUGCUCGAGUGGCGAACGGGUGAGUAACACGUGAGUAACCUGCCCUUGACUUUGGGAUAACUUCAGGAAACUGGGGCUAAUACCGGAUAGGAGCUCCUGCUGCAUGGUGGGGGUUGGAAAGUUUCGGCGGUUGGGGAUGGACUCGCGGCUUAUCAGCUUGUUGGUGGGGUAGUGGCUUACCAAGGCUUUGACGGGUAGCCGGCCUGAGAGGGUGACCGGCCACAUUGGGACUGAGAUACGGCCCAGACUCCUACGGGAGGCAGCAGUGGGGAAUAUUGCACAAUGGGCGGAAGCCUGAUGCAGCAACGCCGCGUGCGGGAUGACGGCCUUCGGGUUGUAAACCGCUUUCGCCUGUGACGAAGCGUGAGUGACGGUAAUGGGUAAAGAAGCACCGGCUAACUACGUGCCAGCAGCCGCGGUGAUACGUAGGGUGCGAGCGUUGUCCGGAUUUAUUGGGCGUAAAGGGCUCGUAGGUGGUUGAUCGCGUCGGAAGUGUAAUCUUGGGGCUUAACCCUGAGCGUGCUUUCGAUACGGGUUGACUUGAGGAAGGUAGGGGAGAAUGGAAUUCCUGGUGGAGCGGUGGAAUGCGCAGAUAUCAGGAGGAACACCAGUGGCGAAGGCGGUUCUCUGGGCCUUUCCUGACGCUGAGGAGCGAAAGCGUGGGGAGCGAACAGGCUUAGAUACCCUGGUAGUCCACGCUGUAAACGGUGGGUACUAGGUGUGGGGUCCAUUCCACGGGUUCCGUGCCGUAGCUAGCGCUUUAAGUACCCCGCCUGGGGAGUACGGCCGCAAGGCUAAAACUCAAAGGAAUUGACGGGGCCCCGCACAAGCGGCGGAGCAUGCGGAUUAAUUCGAUGCAACGCGUAGAACCUUACCUGGGUUUGACAUGGAUCGGGAGUGCUCAGAGAUGGGUGUGCCUCUUUUGGGGUCGGUUCACAGGUGGUGCAUGCCUGUCGUCAGCUCGUGUCGUGAGAUGUUGGGUUAAGUCCCGCAACGAGCGCAACCCUUGUUCACUGUUGCCAGCACGUUAUGGUGGGGACUCAGUGGAGACCGCCGGGGUCAACUCGGAGGAAGGUGGGGAUGACGUCAAGUCAUCAUGCCCCUUAUGUCCAGGGCUUCACGCAUGCUACAAUGGCUGGUACAGAGAGUGGCGAGCCUGUGAGGGUGAGCGAAUCUCGGAAAGCCGGUCUCAGUUCGGAUUGGGGUCUGCAACUCGACCUCAUGAAGUCGGAGUCGCUAGUAAUCGCAGAUCAGCAACGCUGCGGUGAAUACGUUCCCGGG
rnacentral:rRNA from 1 species